ACGACCGUGGAAGAAGACGUAAACUUCUUAUCAAAUGCUUCACCGCGAUGCUCGGAGAUGAGACCUCAAGAACUUGUUACUAACUGAUGUACCCACAACAUAUAGGUUUACAACAGAAAACAUAUUAGCUUAUUUAUAUAUCUUUUAAAUUUCUCCAUCGACUAAAAUUUUCGAAAAAAAAAAUUUGCAUUGUGAAGUUUCCUGUUCCUCAAUGAUAUAUCUGUUGGUGUUGGUUUGAAAAAAGUUACAAGUAAAAUGAGUUGGGUCCAAGCAUAGUUGGUUUGCGUUGAUUUAUGAUUAACAACAGAAAAUGCAUUACUUCAACAAAUAUUCCCUGGAGGAUGCCGGUUAAAAAGAAAAACUGAAGAAACUUUAUAUAUGGUGGCGAUAUGAGAGAACUGCUGUGGCAGAAUAUUACCAUCGUAGAACAGUUUUGUAUCAAAUCAUUGUAUAAUAUUAGUUUUUUGUUGCUUAAAAAUGUUAUGAAAUUCAAA